rnacentral:rRNA from 1 species
GACGAACCGUGCGAACGUUAUUCGGAAUCACUGGGCUUAAAGCGCGUGUAGGCGGACGGGUACGUCGGUCGCUGAAAUCCCCCGGCUCAACCGGGGAACGGGCGCCGAAACGCCCCGUCUCGAGGGACGUAGGGGGACCUGGAACUUCCGGUGGAGCGGUGAAAUGCGUUGAGAUCGGAAGGAACGCCCGUGGCGAAAGCGAGGUCCUGGACGUCUACUGACGCUGAGACGCGAAAGCUAGGGGAGCGAACGGG